UCCCCGUCUCUGUUGUCACAGACUGAGGGAGGGACCAGCAGGGAGUGGGCCUGAGUGCAGGGACAGAGGCCCAGGCAGGGCAGGGCUGGGCAGAGCUGUUGUGCAGGCAGAGAGAAGGUGGAGAGAGGCCAGACGGAGCGGGCCUGGCCAUGUGGAGUGCCCUGUGCGUGGGCUUCUUGCCCAUUGUAGCUGUCACUGGCCAGAUGGCCUUGGAGCAGCACCCCAGGGAACUGACUGUGCAAGAGGGAGAUGCAGUCACAUUCCAGUGCUCCAUGAAGAGAGGUGAUAUGAACAGCUACUACAUGUACUGGUACCAUCAGGGCCCAAAAGGCUCUCUCAGAUUUAUUUGCCAUGAGGAUGAUUUCUAUGGAGAGGAUUUCCAAGAUCGCUUUAAGGUAUCACUUCACAGUUCCAAGGACACAUCGACACUGCAGAUCCUGGCAGCAAAGCAAGGGGAUGAAGCAAUGUAUUACUGUGGAGCCAGAAUCACCCUGGAGCAGCUCUGUAGCAGAAUAGAUCAAAAACUGACAGAUGGGGAAAACGGAUCUCUCAGCAUUCCUUUCUUGCAGCUGCUCCCCAGGGCUCUUGUCAGGAAACAGCAGGUGCAGGAAAUAACCAUCUUGGGCUUGGUGGCACUAAAAGUGGCAUUGGAAGGGAAAAAAGCCUUCCAGUAGAGACUAAAAAGCCACUGGAGGGAGGGGUGGCAGAAGGGCUGGUACCAUUUAUGGUACAGGAGGAUCUGUUCUGGGAACUGCAGAGGCUGUUUGUGCAAAUGCAGGUUUUGAGCACGUUGGCUGGGCUCCUUUCCAGUCUGGUCUCAUUUUUCCUCUGUGCUUUGCCUGGCUUCCCUUGUA